rnacentral:misc_RNA from 1 species
UCUUCUUCUUCUUCUUCCCCUAUUGGUUUGCGAAGCAACGGGGCGAUGUAAGAUACCAAGUUUUCCCCUUUCCUUUUCUUCUUCUGGGUUCUUGUGAUUUUUAACCUUUCAGCUGAAAUGAACAAUUCUUGAGUGUUAUCUUCUUCAUAGUUACUGGCUGGUACCUACUUUAUUUUACGUUGCCCGUGCAAUGGAUUCACUAGAUCUGAGGUAAUUCUGAUCAUAUUAUAAAAUCUAGAGCCGUCACUGUUUUCCUCGAGCACUCAAUGAGAGUUUUCCUUUGGGUUUUGAAGGCAAUGCUGCAAUCCAGAUUAUCUGAGGAUUAAUAUGUUUGUAUAUAGUAUUUAAAGGAAAAUGCAAAACUUAAUUGUCGAAAUUUGGAGUUAAAGUAACUAAAUUUCAUAAAAUUUUCUUUUGGGCGGCUCCUAAAUUAAGAAGAUUGGAUCAUACUCAGAAAACCAGUACUUAGGAUAUUUAGCUGUAUUUAUGUUAUGCUGUUUUAUCGUUGGGGGUGACUCCACUAUCAGUUCAUUAUGCUUUUGAGUAGAGUUCCAUGUGAAAUUUCCAAGUAUUCACAGCUUGAAGGGGAUUGCUUUUAGUUUCUACUGAACAUUAGAGUUCAUGGGAUUUUUGCACCAAACUACUCUAUUUUGAAGGUUUUGUUUAUAUUUUGGCUUACCAUUCUUUUUUCGUUUGCCAACUCUAACCAGUUGGAAUAAGAAUUUGUUAAAUUUUUGACUCGACUCUUUCAUAUCUCUCUCUACUCCAGCUGAUGUCAGUGGCCUUUAAUUAGUUUUCUCUAAUUAUUUAGAAUACAUUAGUGUGCUACUGCAAAAACGUGUUGACAAGUUUGCAGAUUCUUCAUUUUUCUUCUCUCUCUCUCUCUCU